rnacentral:misc_RNA from 1 species
AAGUCGUAACAAGGUUUCCGUAGGUGAACCUGCGGAAGGAUCAUUAGUGAUUUUUUCAAAAAGUAUAUGUGUUCUUUUGUUACAUCAACAUUAGAGGGCAUAUUCUUUUAAACCAUUUGUGAACAAGAAACCCCAACACUAGUAAAAGUUUUUAUUAACUUUUGCUAGUAGUUAAACCAAGAGCUUUAUUCUUAUUUUCAUAACACAUUGUCUAAGCUAUUUCAUAGACUUAUAAUCUAUUAAAACAACUAUUAACAAUGGAUCCCUUGGCUCUU